AACGAACGCUGGCGGCAGGCUUAACACAUGCAAGUCGAACGCCCCGCAAGGGGAGUGGCAGACGGGUGAGUAACGCGUGGGAACAUACCCUUUCCUGCGGAAUAGCUCCGGGAAACUGGAAUUAAUACCGCAUACGCCCUACGGGGGAAAGAUUUAUCGGGGAAGGAUUGGCCCGCGUUGGAUUAGCUAGUUGGUGGGGUAAAGGCCUACCAAGGCGACGAUCCAUAGCUGGUCUGAGAGGAUGAUCAGCCACAUUGGGACUGAGACACGGCCCAAACUCCUACGGGAGGCAGCAGUGGGGAAUAUUGGACAAUGGGCGCAAGCCUGAUCCAGCCAUGCCGCGCGAGUGAUGAAGGCCUUAGGGUUGUAAAGCUCUUUCACCGAUGAAGAUAAUGACGGUAGUCGGAGAAGAAGCCCCGGCUAACUUCGU
rnacentral:rRNA from 1 species